rnacentral:RNase_P_RNA from 1 species
CAAGUUGGCUGGGUGAUCGCGGUUGGGUGGCCAGGCAUCUGCGGAUGCCCGGCCGCCCGGCUGAGGAAAGUCCGCACUCCACAGGGUACGGUGCCGGCUAACCGCCGGGCGGGGUGACCCGACGGCAAGUGCAACAGAGAGGUGUAUUGCCCAGCACCCGGCCGGGUGUUGGGCGAGGGUGAAACGGCGGUGUAAGAGACCACCGGCAGCGGCAG